rnacentral:rRNA from 1 species
GCAUCCAACGCGUUGGGGACUCUCCCAUAUGGUCGACCUGCAGGCGGCCGCGAAUUCACUAGUGAUUCGUAUUACCGCGGCUGCUGGCACGUAGUUAGCCGGUGCUUAUUCUUCCGGUACCGUCAGUAGUCAGCGAUAUUCACGCUAACCGUUUCGUUCCGGACAAAAGAGCUUUACAACCCGAAGGCCUUCUUCACUCACGCGGAAUGGCUGGAUCAGGGUUGCCCCCAUUGUCCAAAAUUCCCCACUGCUGCCUCCCGUAGGAGUUUGGGCCGUGUCUCAGUCCCAAUGUGGCUGAUCAUCCUCUCAGACCAGCUACUGAUCGUCGCCUUGGUGAGCCAUUACCUCACCAACUAGCUAAUCAGACGCGGGCCAAUCUUUCGGCGAUAAAUCUUUCCCCGUAAGGGCUUAUCCGGUAUUAGCACAAGUUUCCCUGUGUUGUUCCGAACCAAAAGGUAUGUUCCCACGCGUUACUCACCCGUCUGCCGCUGACGUAUUGCUACGCCCGCUCGACUUGCAUGGCGUAUUACCGCGGCUGCUGAGCCAGGAUCAAACUCUAAUCGAAUUCCCGCGGCCGCCAUGGCGGCCGGGAGCAUGCGAC